rnacentral:lncRNA from 1 species
AUUGGGCGGUGCCCGGAGAGAGGCCAAUGCAGGGGCUGAGUCGGCAGAGGGAGCUGAAUGCUGACAUCGGUGCGGGCUGCGCGUGGCCAGCUCAGCGAGCGCUUCGCAGACUAGCAUAUCCUUUCCUUUACUAUUUUAUCUUACUUUUGAGUCUUAAAACGGGACUCUUAGGGAAGAUUAGGGAUUCUUGCCUCCCUUUUAGAGAUGGGGAAACUGAGGCUCCGAGAGGCUGCCAGUCACCGUGAAUCAAUUACUGAGCAUCACCCGUGCUUAUUAGAACGUGUACGGUGGAAACAUCUCCAUCUUGCGGGCGGGCAAACUGGGAAGCAGGAAAGUGCAAAGGUCACACAGCUCAGAAGUUACACAGCCGCAAUUCCAGUCCAGCUGUGAUAGAUCCAGCACAAAAAUGUCCCCUGCCUUUAUCCACAUCCGUGGCAGGAGACUUUGCAGCUCUUCCCAUCAGGAGACAGAGCCUGUUUCCCCACCUCUGGCAUCGGGGCUGGCCGUGUGACCUGUCUGGAGCAGCAGAAUGGGGCAGAAGCCUAGGCCACGAGGAGCAUGCACCUCCUGACAACAGACCCAGGUUGAUCAUCUGGGUGACGAGAGGCUCCUGGUCUGGUCACUCCCUCGCCCACGGCGACAGCUGGCCAUCCACGGAAUGUGUGGGUGGGGCCAUGCUAGACCACCCAGCCCCUUGCUCUUCGGCCCGCUGACCAGAGACAUCUCUGGAGCCCAGCCCAGAUCCGCGGAGCCCCAGCGUACUCAAGCAGCACCAACCGGCUGGCUGUGGCGGUGAAUUUUAUGAGUCAACUUGACAGGGCCGUGGCUGCCCAGCUGAUUGGUUAACCGUCAUGCUGGGUGUGUCUGUGAGGGUGUUCCCGGAAGAGAGUAGCAUGUGAAUUGGUAAACUGAGGAAAGCAGAUGGCCAUCCCAGCCUGGGUGGGGCUCAGCCAUCCCGUUGGAAGCCUUAGGAGAACAAAAGGUGACAUGAAGGAGAAUUCUCUUUCUCUGCUUGUCUUUAAGCUGGGACAUGGGUCUCCUCCCGCCUGCGGGCUCUGACUGGGACUUGCCCCUCCCCUCUCCUGAUGGCCAGCUUGUCACCUGCAGAUGGUGGGAUCUCAGCUUGGGUCACUGCGUGAGCCAAUUCCUAUAAUACAUCUCUCUCUCUCCUAUGUGUCUCCUAUUGGUUCUGUUUCUCUGGAGAACCCAGGAUAAUUGGCUGACUGUAGACUCAUGAGCAAUAACAGGUGCUAACUGUUUUAGGCCCCUGGGCCAUGGGCUGGCUUGUUGCGCGGCAAUAGCUAACUGAUACACUGUAUCUGCCUGUGGCCUUGGAGCUGCCCCAUCGCCUUCCGUGCUCUGUGGACCUUUCUCACAGGACAGGUUUCUUCAAACAGCAGCUCAUCUCGGGCUCCUGACACUUUUUAGUUUAAUACAAUUCAGCAAAUAUUUGAGUGACUCUGCUGCCAGGUACGGGGGCUAUAGCAGUAAAUAUGAAACUUUCUGCUGCUGUCUCUUGGAACUUUCUGCUCAUGGGAAGCCGAUGUUAGACAAAUAGUUACAAGUGCAGUGAGCAUUGUGAGAAGUGGGCUACAGGCCCUAUGGGGCCUGAUUUAGGCUGGGGGUCCAAGAAGGCCUCUCAGAGGAGGGGGUUUGACAGCUGUGCUCUCAGGCAAAGGCAAGGGGUGGGGAGGAGAGGGUACUUUCCAGCAGAGGGAACAGCGUGUGAAAAGCCUGGAGGCAAGAAACAGCAUGUUGAGUGGUCCACGGAAGGUUUGUGAAACCCCAAAACUCAGCCAGGGGAUGGCCCUGGGCUCAAAUCCUAGCUCAUCACAUUCAGGCUGCGUGAUCCUGGCAAACUUUUCAUCUCUAAGCUUGUUUUCUUUUCUAUAAAAUUGAGUAGCAGUAGUAUCCAGCUUCCAGGCAU